AUACGGAGGGUGCAAGCGUUAAUCGGAAUUACUGGGCGUAAAGCGCGCGUAGGCGGUUUAGUCAGUCAGAUGUGAAAGCCCCGGGCUCAACCUGGGAACUGCAUUUGAUACUGCUGAACUAGAGUAUGGUAGAGGGGAGUGGAAUUCCGGGUGUAGCGGUGAAAUGCGUAGAUAUCCGGAGGAACACCAGUGGCGAAGGCGACUUCCUGGACCAAUACUGACGCUGAGGUGCGAAAGCGUGGGUAGCAAACAGGAUUAGAUACCCUAGUAGUCC
rnacentral:rRNA from 1 species